rnacentral:lncRNA from 1 species
GGCGAUCUCUAAUCCACGGUCUUCUUGUAGGUGUACCACCUCGCGAUGAGCAGGUAGACGCCGAAGUUGCCGAUGCAGAGCAUGGCGAGCAGCCAGAAGAAGUUGUCGAGGUGCCCCCGGUUGAUGUCGUCGGGGAUCCACCCGUCCCGCCCGCCCCGCGCCGUCGCGCGCGCCACCACCGUCACGAGCGCCGAGCUCACGUAGUUCCCCAGCGCGAACGACGUCAUGGAGAGGCCCGAGCAGAGGCUGCGCAUAGCGUCGGGCGCCUGGUCGUAGAAGAACUCCAUCUGGCCGAUGAACGUGAACACCUCCGACGCGCCCACCACCACGUACUGCGGCACCUGCCAGAAGAUGGACAUGGGCAGGUACCUCCCGUCCGCGCCCGUGUUGGUGUCGUACAUGCCGUGCCGCGCGACGACGCGGCGGCGCUGCACCUCGAGCGUCCCCGCGGCGAGCAUCGCGGCGGUCAGCACGACGAGGCCGACGCCCAUGCGCGCCAGCUGCGAGAACCCGCGGUCGCGGCCCGUGGCGCGGCGCGCGAGAGGGACGAUGACGCGGUCGUAGAGGGGCACCCAGAGCAUGACGCUGAGGGUUUCAGAGACGGAGAGCACGGCGGCCGGCACGCGGAAGCCGCCGACGUAGGGGUCCAGCGUGUCGCCCUGGAGGAUGAACGUGCUGGACAUCUGCGCGUACGCAGCCGCGAAGACGAUGCCGCUCGCCAACACUGGCAGCAGCCGGAGCACGCACUUGAGCUCCUCCACCUGCGUCACCGUGCACAGUCGCCACGGGCUCGGCCGCGUCUUGUCGCCCGCUGUCUCCACCGCUGCCUUGUCCAAGAACCUAAGCCACCAUUUGCAAAUAAACUAGCUACGUUACACUCAACUAUCCAGUGGUAACAAUGGGCCGGCAAGAAUUUUUUCGAAAACAUUUGACGCGUUACACGUUCUGCUUAAUUUUCUGGGCUAUACUCCGUACAUGAACCUUGAUUUCAGUAAAAACAUAUCGUGACUAUAUAAUUCCUUACUACCUCCGUCCCAAAAUAUAAUAACUUUUUAACUUGACCAAAGUAAAAUAUUUUCAUCUUUGCUCAAUAAUAUCUCCAAAAAUAAUUACUCUUAAAUAGAGUUACAUACUAUGGUAAUACUAUGACAGUUGGUUUCAUUAUAAAUAAACUAAUAUCAUUUUUAUGUUGCCAAUCUUUAUAUUUUUUUUGCAAUUUACGGUCAAAAUUUAAAAGGUUUGACUUUGAAAAAAAUUUAAAAAUAGUUAUAUUCUAGGACAGAGGUAGUAGUUUGUUUUGUUCCAAAAAAAUUGUAGUUUGUUUUUAAUUUCAUCUUAAAUUAAUUUUUUUAUCUUUGAUAAAUUUAUAUAUAUAUAUUAACAUUUACAAUACCAAACAAUACGUAAACGGCUCCGACUUAACGAGGUCAAUGGGAUGGCAAGACAUGGUGGAUAGUUUGGAUGAAUAAUACUUGUCGCCGACUUGGGUAGAUGAGCAUUCUUAUGAAUGUCAGAAAACAAAGACGUACGAUCAUGCUGUUCCAAGAAAACACGUCACUGUGGCUGAUCUCACGAAAACGUAGUCUAUAUACCAUAUAUCCUAGUUGGCUACUAGUAAGGUAAACGGACAACUUAUUUUAUACAAUGCAGACGUAUACACGCUCUCGUAACUCGUAAGCAUACCAUACGACCAUACGUACCUACGCCUGGAUACAUCUACGUGGGUUUGGUAGGCAUCUGACAAAGACUGGAAACAUAACCUAAGGUGACUACUGAGCACAUUCACAUGUACUAUAUCUACAAUCUCCUUUUUACUAAAUUCAUGAAACUACAAGUAUCCACCCUAAGCCCGGGACAUGAAUUUAGGUUCAUAACAUUACAAACCUAGCGAGCCAUGGCAGCUGACAAGACUCUCAACCACUGACAGUAUAUUUGGUUGGAGGUUGAAAAGCUCUUGUUUGUUAAGUGGAAAUAGAAGUUUUGGUAGAAUAAGGAACAAGAGUUUUAACGGCCAACUUCUACCGAUCACUUUGUAGGGAGCGGUGAUAAUUGGGCCUUGAGUGAGAGAUGGAUGCAUAAGCACCGUUCAUCAUGGCUUAGAUACAAUUUUUCACUUUUAAACCCACACACAAAACACCUUAAUUCUCUUCAAAAGCUGAAUAAAGAAAUGGGACUAAAAAUCCUCAAACUGACAGGAGAAUUUCCUCCACCAACUCCGAUCCAACCACUAAUUCCCGUGCUCCUCCCUAUCGGCAAAAACGCACAUAAAGGACUUCGCAUUUCGUUGUUCACUGAACGCAGAGGAGAAAUUUCAUUUCUCCAUCAGAUCAGACUACAUGCAAACGCGACUGAACGUGCUGCAUGCUAGUACUUACCUGAACUGGUCGGUGUGCGCGAGCCGACGGCUCCCCUGUAUCGCGGACAUGCCGUCGUCGGUCUCGCACUCGUACAGCACCGACGCGUCUGCCGGCACCUCGACGCCGUACUUCCUGACUGCGGCGACGACCACCUGCGCGACCCUGGUGAGCGGGCUGCCGCCCGGCGGCUGGUGCCGCCGGUACGCGCCGGUUCCGGCGAGGAACACCGCGACGGCCAGCACGCUGAACAGCGCCGGGAUGCCGUACCCGAGCCCCCAGCCUACGCUGGACUGCACCCACACCAGCACGGUGCCGCCGACGAGCGAGCCCACGUUGAGGGUCUGGUAGAACCAGUUGAAGAAGGAGCUCUGCCGGCGGCGCUCCUCCUCGUCGGACUCGUCGAACUGGUCCGCCCCGAACGACGUCAGCACCGGCUGCAGCGCGCCGCCCAGCGCCAGCAGGUACAGCCCCGCGUAGAACAAUGCCGCUCCCGGCAGCGCCGCCGCCGCGCUCACCGUCAGCACGGCGUAGGCCUGGGUGAAGCAUGAAUUUCGCAAAACAAGGCACGGCGAGGCAGGGUGAGCAAGCUCCGCCGAUGCACGACGACGUCCGGCGUGUACGAAGUAGCUAAUGAGAUACGCACCACGACGGAGAUGAGCAUGAAGAUCGCGAUGGUCCAGUAUCUGCCGAGGAAGGCGUCGGCGAGGAAGGCGGCGACGAGCGCCAUGAUGGAGCUGGUGCCCUGCCAGUUGGUGACGCUGUUGGCGGCGGCCUUGCUGUCCUGGUGCAGCCGGUCCUUGAGGUAGUUCACCAGGUUCGUCGAGACGCCGAAGUAGGCGGUGCACUGGAAGCAGCUGUUCACUGCAUCGCCACGCGUGCAUUGGUAUAUAAGCCAAAACGCUGGGUCAAUCAUCAAGAGCUAGUAUGCUUUGCUACCGAAGAUGAAGACGCAGGCCCAGAAAACCCGGCGAUCCUUCUUGGACGACGGCCGGUGAUCGGCGCCGCCGCGCGAGGCGUUUGAUUCCACGGCCUCCACCUCCAUGAUUUUCGCGGUUCAGGAGAUGACUCCGACCGUUGGGAAUUCUGAAACCAUUUAGGCAAGGUGAGAAUGACAGAGAAAUUGAAUCGAUGCGCAUGUCCAAACUUUGAUUGUCGAUCAUAUUAAGAAAAACAUGGCGUAAACAGUUCGAGAGAACUGACCUUCUGCCUCGGUCUGAUCGAAAAUCGCGCCUCUUUGGUCUCUCCUGCUUACUGUAUGAAGCAACUUGAGAGACUGCUGACUGAUGAACGGCCGGGACUAACGACAGCCCUGGUGUAGUAUAUCUAUAGUAGGUACGUUCCACUUUGGUGUAAUUUGUGAAUGACGCCUUCACCAGUGACAGAAAAGAGCCGGCACAAGUGACGUGUACGGUGACUCGGAGAGAGUGCGUUUACAGUUACCCUGAUAUCAUGUAUUUGCUGCUCCCGGAAAAUUUAGUCAUAACGAUUGUUGAGACCCUGAAGAAUCGCAUGGGUGCCUGAUCUACACUGUUCGCCAAAGAUUCUGGCUAGGGCCAGACCCGCGGGACGCUGUUUUCUAGUGUGUUUGGACCCUUUUCUUGAAGCAGUGAAGGCCUUUCACUACAAGAUUUGCGGUUCAACAUAGUGGGAUAUUUGUAUCCUUGUCUCUACUCCGUAGCGCGAUUGCGGUUUUGCCCUCAUUUGUUUAAUCGUGUGAUUUUGCCCUUACUAUUCAGUAUUCACAAGGGCAAAAUUGUGUUGACUUGUGAAUUGUAAAAGCAGGAUCACAAAGUCAAAGAAAACGAGGGUGAAAUUAUAAUUGCGCUACAAAGUAGAAGCAAGAACAUCAAUUUCUCUUAAACAAAUUAGUAACGAACUAACGAUGUAAUCACGGUCACCCACCUCAAGGAAACGCUCGGCAAAAGCUCGGGUCAGCGACCCACCCCCGUCCUUGCGUUUGUGUGGUGAUUGAUUGACAAAUUAUGAUCGAAUUAGUUUGUGCGAUUUCAAGAUUGCAAGGAGCAUGUGUUCACGUACUUGUUUUUUUUUAUAAAUUGAGACUAGUUGUAGGUGACGAAGGUGUUGAGUUAGAGUGGAGAAUUCAUAACAUGCCUCUUGUCUGUUGUCUCUGUAUGUGUACGUCAAUAUGAUAGUCAAUCAUGAGAGGUCAAGGCCGAGUUGGGAGGCUCGGGUCCAGAGGACCAAGAUGCCAAGUGAGUCAAUGAGUGAUCCACGCUACAUAUAUAUGAAGAACACAAGAGGGAUAGGAAAAAAUAUGAGGCUGAGUUGCAUGGAAGAUGUUAUUCUAAGGUUUCAGAGUCCAUUUUGUACCUACAGUACUGUGAGGAGCUGAAUGCCUGAUUUUAUACGUUUGGGAUUAAGUAUUUUUUUUUUAGAAAAGGGAGAUGUUCCGGCCUCUGAGGGAUUAAGUAGAUGGACCCUAAAUACCUUUUGAAAUAGACUUUAUUCCAUAAUAAUCCAUGCGGACAUACAUCGUAAGAUUCAUUGGCGGCGAUCUCUAAUCCACGGUCUUCUUGUAGGUGUACCACCUCGCGAUGAGCAGGUAGACGCCGAAGUUGCCGAUGCAGAGCAUGGCGAGCAGCCAGAAGAAGUUGUCGAGGUGCCCCCGGUUGAUGUCGUCGGGGAUCCACCCGUCCCGCCCGCCCCGCGCCGUCGCGCGCGCCACCACCGUCACGAGCGCCGAGCUCAC